rnacentral:rRNA from 1 species
UUCUGCUCGGUGGUAUCUUAACAGCCGCAGUACUCUGACUGUGCAAAGGUAGCAUAAUCAAUUGGCCUUUAACUGAGGUCUGGGAUGAACGAAUAUAUGGGGGGUUGCUGUCUCAAUGGGGUUACUUGAAAUUAGUGCGGAAGUGCAAAUACUUUCAAGUCUAAAAUAGACGAGAAGACCCUAGAAACUUGUUUAUUACUUUUGCUGGGGCGGCAGAAUUACAUUUAAACUAAUUUUAAUUUACGUGACGUAUAGCUGUAAGUUUAAGUUACUCUAGGGAUAACAGCAUAAUUCUAUUUAUUUGUGACCUCGAUGUUGGACUAGGUUUAGCAACCCCUAAAAGGGGUUGUUAAUUGCUCUGUUCGAGCAUAUAACACCUACGUGAUCUGAUUUCAGACCGGA